rnacentral:rRNA from 1 species
GAUGAACGCUAGCGAUAGGCUUAACACAUGCAAGUCGAGGGGCAGCAUGGUCUUAGCUUGCUAAGACUGAUGGCGACCGGCGCACGGGUGCGUAACGCGUAUGCAACUUGCCUCACAGAGGGGGAUAACCCGUCGAAAGACGGACUAAUACCGCGUACACUCCAUCUUGGGCAUCCAAGGUAGAGGAAAUGAAAUUCGCUGUGAGAUAGGCAUGCGUCCCAUUAGCUAGUUGGUGAGGUAACGGCUCACCAAGGCGACGAUGGGUAGGGGAACUGAGAGGUUGAACCCCCACACUGGUACUGAGACACGGACCAGACUCCCACGGGAGGCAGCAGUGAGGAAUAUUGGUCAAUGGGCGAGAGCCUGAACCAGCCAAGUCGCGUGAGGGAUGACUGUCUUAUGGAUUGUAAACUUCUUUUAUACGGGAAUAACAAGAGUCACGUGUGACUCCCUGCAUGUACCGUAUGGAUAAGCAUCGGCUAACUCCGUGCCAGCAGCCGCGGUAAUACGGAGGAUGCGAGCGUUAUCCGGAUUUAUUGGGUUUAAAGGGUGCGUAGGCGGCCUGUUAAGUCAGCGGUGAAAUCUAGGAGCUUAACUCCUAAAUUGCCAUUGAUACUGGCGGGCUUGAGUGUAGAUGAGGUAGGCGGAAUGCGUGGUGUAGCGGUGGAAUGCAUAGAUAUCACGCAGAACUCCGAUUGCGAAGGCAGCUUACUAAGGUACAACUGACGCUGAAGCACGAAAGCGUGGGUAUCAAACAGG